GGGCGUAUGGUGUAGUGGUAGCACAUUCGCUUUGCAUGCGAAAGGUCCAGGGUUCGAUCCCCUGUUCGUCCA
rnacentral:tRNA from 1 species